GAGGCCUUCACUUCCGCCCCCCCGGGGCCUUCACUUCCGCCUUUCCGGGACCUUCACUUCCGCCUCUUGCGGCCUUCACUUCCGGCUCCCCGCGGCCUUCACUUCCGCCUCCUGAGGCCUCCACUUCCGGCUCCCCGCGGCCUUCACUUCCGCCUCCUGAGGCCUCCACUUCCGCCCCCCCGGGGCCUCCGCUCGUCUCCUCCGCCCCAGGGGUUCGGUCCGGUACUUCCGGUGCGGUUCUAACGAUCGGAUAACUUCCGGUGAGACACUUCCGGUGAGACACUUCCGGUUGGUGAUCUCAGUGCCGGUCACUAAUAGGAGCGCAGAUCGCCUCAUGUAAGGAGGGAUGAAGCAGGGAGAACCAAUAGGAAAGGAGAUCACCUCAGAUGGGGGCGGGACGAGGAAGGAAGAACCAAUAGGAGAGCAGAUCGCCUCAGGGGGGGCGGGAUUAACAGGGAGGAGCCAAUGGGAGAAGAGAUCACCUCAGAGAGGGGGCGGGAUUAACGGGGAGGAGCCAAUGGGAGAAGACAUCACCUCAGAGAGGGGGCGGGAUUAAAGGGGAGCAACCAAUGGGAGAGGAGAUCACCUCAGAGAGGGGGCGGGGCUAACAGGGAGCAGCCAAUGGGAGAAGAGAUCACCUCAGAGAGGGGGCGGGAUUAAACGGGAGCAACCAAUGGGAGAGGAGAUCACCUCAGAGAGGGGGCGGGACUAACAGGGAGCAGCCAAUGGGAUGAGGGAACGUUCUCGGAGGACUUCCGGCGACUACCGGAAGAGAGGGGGCGCUCUGGUCACGUCUCGGUGGUCGGCGCAUGCGCAGCUGUCGGCCAUGCCGAAAGGAGCCAAAAGUGCCGCGGUCCGAGAGGAGGAAUGGAAGGGGGACGAGGAAGGGAACGGUCAGAGCCGGUCUAUGGGGCUGGGAUCUAUGGGGCUGGGAUCUAUGGGGCUGGAUCUAUGGGGCUGGAUCUAUGGGGCUGGGACCCAUAGAUAUGUGGGUCUCGGAUGUGUGGGGCUGGAGAUCAGAUAUGUGUGAGGCUCAGACCCAUGGAUCGGUGGUGCUGGGAUCUAUGGGGCUGGGACCCAUAGAUAGAUGUGUGGGGCUGGGACCCAUAGAUAUGUGGGGCUGGGAUCUAUGGGGCUGGGACCCAUAGAUACGUGGGGCUGGGGGGCUGGGAUCUAUGAGGAUGGGAUCUGUGGGGCAAGGAAUUGUGUGGGGCUGGGAGAUGUGGGGCUGGGACCCAUGGAUCUGUGGGGCUGGGAUCUGUGGGGCUGGGACCCAUAGAUAGAUGUGUGGGGCUGGGAUCCAUAGAUGUGUGGGGCUGGGACCCAUAGAUGUGUGGGGCUGGGACCCAUGGAUCUGUGGGGCUGGGACCCAUAGAUAUGUGGGGCUGGGAUCUGUGGGGCUGGGACCC
rnacentral:lncRNA from 1 species